AACGAACGCUGGCGGCAUGCCUAACACAUGCAAGUCGAACGAGACCUUCGGGUCUAGUGGCGCACGGGUGCGUAACGCGUGGGAACCUGCCCUUAGGUUCGGAAUAACUCCCCGAAAGGGGUGCUAAUACCGGAUAAUGUCUUCGGACCAAAGAUUUAUCGCCUUUGGAUGGGCCCGCGUUGGAUUAGCUAGUUGGUAGGGUAAAAGCCUACCAAGGCGACGAUCCAUAGCUGGUCUGAGAGGAUGAUCAGCCACACUGGGACUGAGACACGGCCCAGACUCCUACGGGAGGCAGCAGUGGGGAAUAUAGGACAAUGGGCGAAGGGCUGAUCCAGCAAUGCCGCGUGAGUGAUGAAGGCGUGAGGGUUGUAAAGCUCUUUUACCCGGGAUGAUAAUGACAGUACCGGGAGAAUAAGCUCCGGCUAACUCCGUG
rnacentral:rRNA from 1 species